AUCAGGUGUUUUGGAACCUCUGCCAUGGCGACUUAUGGCCCUCAGGUUAAGAAUCUUGGUUCUCACACUUUCUACAACGAGCUGCGCAUGGGCCCCGAGGAGCACCCGGUGCUGCUGACUGAGGCCCCCCUGAACCCCAAAGCUAACCGUGAGAAGAUGACCCAGAUCAUGUUUGAGAUUUUCAACACUCCAGCCAUGUAUGUGGCCAUCCAGGCUGUGCUGUCCCUGUAUGCCUCUGGCCAUACCACUGGCCACCACUGAUGGGGUCACCCACAGUGCCCAUCUAUGAGGGGUAUGCCCUCCCCCAUGCCAUCCUACGUCUGGACCUGGCUGGCCGGGACCUGACAGACUACCUCAUGAAGAUCCUCACGGAGCGUGGCUACAGCUUCACCACCACAGCUGAGCGGGAAAUUGUGCGUGACAUCAAGGAGAAGCUGUGUUACAUCGCCCUGGACUUCGAGCAGGAGAUGGCCACAGCAGCCUCCAGCUCCUCCCUAGAGAAGAGCUAUGAGCUGCUCGAUGGCCAGGUGAUCACCAUCGGAAAUGAGCGGUUCCGCUGCCCAGAGGCUCUGUUCCAGCCUUCCUUCCUGGGCAUGGAAUCCUGUGGCAUCCAUGAAACUACCUUCAGCUUCUUAUGAAGUGUGAUGUGACAUCCGCAACGACCUGUAUGCCAACACAGUGCUGUCUGGUGGCACCACCACGUACCCUGGCAUCGCCGACAGAAUGCAGAAGGAGAUUACUGCCCUGGCUCCCAGCACAAUGAAGAUCAAGAUCAUUGCUCCCCCUGAGCGCAAGUACUCCGUGUGGAUCGGAGGCUCCAUCCUGGCCUCGCUGUCCACCUUCCAACAGAUGUGGAUCAGCAAGCAGGAGUAUGAUGAGUCUGGCCCCUCCAUCAUCCACCGCAAAUGCUUCUAGGCGGACUGUUAGUUGCGUUAUACCCUUUCUUGACAAAACCUAACUUGUGCAGAAAACAAGAUGAGAUUGGUAUGGCUUUAUUUGUUUUUUAGUUUUGUUUUGUUUGUUUGUUCUUUUUUUGGCUUGACUCAGGAUUUAAAAACUGGAACGGUGAAGAUGACAGCAGUUGGAGCGAACAUCCCCAAAGUUCUACAAUGUGGCUGAGAACUUUGAUUGUAUAUUCUUUUUUAUAAUAGUCAUUCCAAAUAUUGUGAGAUGUGUUGUUACAGGAAGUCCCUUGCCCUCCUAAAAGCUGCCCCACUUCUCUAAAGAGAAUGGCCCGGUCCUCCCAGUCCACACAGGGGAGGUGACAGCAUUGCUUUUGUGUAAAUUAUGUAAUGCAAAAUUUUUUUGAUCUUUGCCUUAAUACUUUUUUAUUUUGUUUUAUUUUGAAUGAUCAGCCAUUGUGGCCCCCUUUUUGUCCCCCAACUUCAGAUGGAUGAAGGCUUUUGGUCUCCCUGGGAGUGGGUGGAGGUAUGGGAGGCAGCCAGCGCUUACCUGUACACUGACUUGAGACCAUUCAAUAAAAGUGCACACCUUAAAA